ensembl:lncRNA
GCAAAGGUAUCUUUCUGCUUGUUAAACGUCUGUGACGUUUGUUGUCUUUUAGAAAAGGUAUCUUAGAAGAUGGUAAUGUGGUUGCCGAUGAUUCUGAAUAAAUACAGCUUUUAUCCCAGGUGUGCCAUUCUGAAGACUGAGACAAUAGAGUUUUUAAGAAUAAAAGAGAACCCUUGGGAAAUUCUGUAUUGUAUAUAUCAAAAAUAUGAAUCCUGAGGUGGAAUGAAAGGCGUGUAUACUAUAGACAUCGAAGCAUUUACACCCAGCUUGAAGAGUUUGAAAUGGACUUUACCACUGAGAAAUCAAGAUGGCAGCCCAUUAUGGGGAAUUGAGGAAAAUGGAUUAAUGCAAGAAUGCUGUGAUAUUACACAACCAACACAGGAUUCUUUUAAUAUGGAUGCCAUGAAAUGAAUGAUUCUUACCCAACACAAAUGGACAGUGGAAUUUACUUCCUAAAGACUUGUUUCGUAUCAUGUACAUUUUUGACAUCUGGAGAAGAUGCUACAUUUCUACAAAUGGUAGUUUGUAUUCCUGUAGAUUCUUGCCGUUUGCUCUGAGUGACCUUAUGGAAUGUUAACUUUAAUAAAAUUCUAAAACUUAAAAAAUUCUCAGUUUGGGCCUUUUAUAAAACUUUUUUUCACCGUGGAUGUUUUCAUUAAAUGUUUCAUUAAAGGUGAAAGAAAACCUUGAUGACAUUUUGACCUUUAUAGUUGCUUUUCAUUAAAAUAUACUGAAUAAAGCUGGUAAAAUGGAAUGGUUUUGUUUGUUUGGGAUUUAUGUGUAUUAGAAAACCUGGGUUUUCCUGUGCUUAAGUGGAAUGGUCCUUUGGUUAAAAUAGAUAUAUUCUCUCUUUCUCCCCCUCCUUCCCCUUUCUUCUUUUUCUUUUCUUUUUUCUUUUCCAGGACAGGGUUUCUCAGUGUAUCCCUGACUGUCCUGGAGUUCAGUCUGUAGACCAGCCUGGUCUGGAAUUUGCAGUGAUUUACCUGCCUCUGCCUCCUGAGUGCUAGGAUUAAAGCUGUAUACAACCACACCCAAUUUGGUGGUUUUUUUAUUAUAAGGUUUAAAUAAAUUCUUUGUUUGGGCGUUUUCAAAGUAUUUUGCAUUUUAAUCAGUGAGUAAUGGGAACCUAGUUAAUUUAUAUAAAAAGUACUUGUUGCCUGUACAGUCCAAGACAGUCUCAGAGUCUUUCAAUUUUUGUUGAGUGGUCCUUUGACCUUUGUAUAAAACCUCUUGCAAUGAAAUGCUCAUCUGAAUAUGUGAGUUAUACUGAUUUGUAUUGUCUUACAUUAGAGAGGUGUAUUUGUAAGUUCUUUGGGUAUACAUUAAAGGGCUUACUCUCACAGUAUUAAUUUACAUUUGACAAAAAUCAUUUUUUUUCUUGUUUCGGGCAGUUGGGAGUUUAAAUGAAUCAUACCAUGCUUUGGAUUGGUUACCCAUGGUUGAAAUCAAAUACCAGGUUUUCAUUUAUUGCUACUUUGGUAAGGAAUAUAAUAAAACAGUAAUGGGGAUUUGGUUGACCAAAUGAUGACUGAUGUUUUUUCAUUACAGAAAACAGAAUAAAAUAAUCUAUUAAUGUAAAAUACCUUCGAAUACACAUGUAUAGUUAAUAUAGAUGCAGUGUUUCUUUGAGUGAUGUGAGGUGGUUGGUCGUUUGAUUUUGAUGUAAAAAUAUCUGUAGAAUUGAAACUUGAUUAUGGAUUUUACGUUUACUUAGAUUUAACAUAAUUGGUUUUGGUUGUAAAACUAAAAUGGAUUACCCCAUUGAUGGAGUGACAUGGUUUUGACCAAUAGGGUUCAGUAAAGGAAUGUUUUGAGUUUUGGGCGUGUGCGUGGUUGGUUUCUUGUCUGCAUGGGAGAGAACACGUGGUUGCAUUUGUGAUUUUGUUUCUGUGGGCCUUGUGCUUCCAUCAUGAGGGAGUUUGUCUUUGACAGUUGAUGAUUGACUGGUAGAUGUGGUCUAGCAUUGUAAGUGAGCUGUGGUUAAUGAAAUGUGAGUGUCCCUAGAAUUUGAUUUGAAACAUAAGUGAAGGGUUCUUUUGGUUUUGGAGUUGAGGUUGAGUGUUUGAUUUAAUGGUGACCAAUGUUGGAAUAUAUUCUUGAAUUUGAAGUUAUUAAUUUUGCCCAAAUAUAUAUAUAAGAAGUAACUGUGUUUGAUGUAUGGCAUUUCCAAGGUUAAUAGUUUACAAAGAAUUUUGUUUCUUCUGGGGGGAAAAUGGUUGAACUAACUUUUGCUCUACUGCAUUUGAACACUAGGGAGGCGCUCUUGAGUUGCACAAGAAAUUACCCCUUCCAGUUGAAGUGGAAAAUUCCCCCUUAAUCUUUAUUUGUUUUUAGGCACUAUAAAGAAGGCAAGAGUUGAGUUUAAUUUAUGGUGUUGAAAUGUUGCUUCUAUAUACAAGCCAUUUUACCCAUGGGGGUAUUAAUAUUUUUAAAGAUUAAUACUUAAACUGAGUUUUAGAUUCUCUAAAAAUUAUCUUUAUUUCAAAAUGGCUUGAUAAAACUCUACUUCCUGUCCAGGGAGGAAGUUAUUUUAGCUCAAGGACUGAAAUAUUUAGCAGAUCUUUAGACAAAAGGAACAAAUUACAUUUCUCUCUGGCUUAAAAAGGGUGCUUGAGCCAGAGGGGGUUAAGAAGCCCUUCCCCCUCCCCCUGAUGGAGUGGUCUGGAGGGGCAGGGAGGUGUGGAGUUGGGGGUCUUCA